GACGAACGCUGGCGGCGUGCUUAACACAUGCAAGUCGAACGGAAAGGCCCUGCUUUUGUGGGGUGCUCGAGUGGCGAACGGGUGAGUAACACGUGAGUAACCUGCCCUUGACUUUGGGAUAACUUCAGGAAACUGGGGCUAAUACCGGAUAGGAGCUCCUGCUGCAUGGUGGGGGUUGGUAAGUUUCGGCGGUUGUGGAUGGACUCGCGGCUUAUCAGCUUGUUGGUGGGGUAGUGGCUUACCAAGGCUUCGACGGGUAGCCAGCCUGGGAGGGUGACCGGCCACAUUGGGACAGGGGUACGGCCAAGAGGCAAACGUGCGGAAGCAGUGGAGAAUAGUGCGCGAAAGGCGGAAGGAUGAUGCAGGAACGCCGGGUGGGAGAUGACGGCUAUCGGGGAGUAAACAGCUUUCGACUGUGAAGAAGCGUGUGUGACGGUAAUGGGUAGAGAAGCACCGGCUAACAACGU
rnacentral:rRNA from 1 species